AUGCAUCACCCCGACUCCACUGCACCCCUGCAGCCCCUGCCACCCACCCUCCACCCAGCUGCUCUGCAGUGCCGCACCCCCAUGGCCCCCGGCGCCGCAACAGCUGCGUCACCCCCGCUCCGGCGCUGCCUGCACAGCACUGGCCAGGCUGCGGGACAGAAGCAGAGCCUCCCGGCUCGGUUCACGCGCAGCUCGGCAGCACGUGGCCUGCGCCCGCGAUGGCUCCCGCCCCGGCAGGCGCCACGGCCCCCAGCCCCGCCGAGGAGCCGAGCCGAGGUGCGAGGCCACCAGCCUCCCCCCGCCCCGCAGCAGCGCUCAUGGGGCUGCACCGGCAGCCAGGGCACGGCCGCCCUCGUGCUCCCCACCACGCCUCGCCCUGCGCCACACGGUGCCAGGCCACGGCCUCCCGCGCCCCCCGCACUCACCCAGCCCCGCCGGGGUCCCGCCGCGCCCGCUGCCCCACGCCCCGAGCGCCCCGCCGCCGGCGGGUCAGGGUGGCUGUGGCGGCCAGGCCGGGAGGCACAGCGGGGCGGCCACGGCCACGCAGGGAGGAAGGACGGGGCCGGCCAACCCCACCCUUUCGGUUCCCCUUUUCUGGGUUCUGAGUCAAAAGCAGCAGCUGCGUUUCCUCCUGGAGCCAUGCGGGGCCGGGGCCUGUCCCGCACGGAGGGCGCGGGGGGCCUGGACACCACGCCCGGGCCGCGGGGCCGGGACACGGGGAGCGGAGCGCGGAACCGGGACCUGAGCUACGGGCGAGCUGGGGGCAGCGCCAUGCCCCCCGGGCUGCCCGCCACCGCGUCCCGCUCCCGCACCUGCGCCCCCCACGGACCCCCGCCCCAUCACCCCUCGGCACCCCCACAGCCACUGGCCCGCUGCCCCUACGCCCGGCAUUUCCCUCCUCCGCAGCCCCCCGCCCCGCAAACCCCGCACCCCCGAGCCCCCUGCGCCCCCCGCCCGCCGCCCCCGUCUCCUCCCACCGGGAGGCGGCGCUGCAGGCCCCGUGCCUGA
rnacentral:lncRNA from 1 species